AGGUAUAUCCUGCAUGGGGUGCAAUAAUGGCUCUAGCAGGUCUCUUUGUGGACUGUACUUGAGAAAGCCAGCCUUCUAGUUGUGCAUUCAGCUGGGGUCCUUAUUCAUUACUUUGUGAAGGAGAGAGGAAACCGCCUCGUUACAGCCAGGUGAAGUCCUUUGUAAAUGUCAGUUCAAGAUUCUGAAUACAAAGAGGGCAUUGACUGCCCCCCUCCCCUAUCUCUGCAC
rnacentral:lncRNA from 1 species